UACGGAGGGGGCUAGCGUUGUCCGAAGUUACUGGGCGUAAAGCGCGCGUAGGCGGGUUGGUAAGUCCGCUGUGAAAGCCCGGAGCUCAACUCCGGAGGGUCGGUGGAUACUGCCAGUCUUGAAGGUGCUAGGGGGAGAUGGAAUUACCGGUGUAGCGGUGAAAUGCGUAGAUAUCGGUAGGAACACCAGUGGCGAAGGCGGGUCUCUGGGCAGUAACUGACGCUGAGGAGCGAAAGCGUGGGGAGCGAACAGG
rnacentral:rRNA from 1 species